GACGAAGGGGGCUAGCGUUGUUCGGAAUUACUGGGCGUAAAGCGCGUGUAGGUGGUUGUCCAAGUUGGAUGUGAAAGCCUUGAGCUUAACUCAAGAAAUGCAUUCAGGACUGGGCGGCUAGAGGACCGGAGAGGAUAGUGGAAUUCCCAGUGUAGUGGUGAAAUACGUAGAGAUUGGGAAGAACACCAGUGGCGAAGGCGGCUAUCUGGACGGUUUCUGACACUAAGACUCGAAAGCGUGGGGAGCAAACAGG
rnacentral:rRNA from 1 species